ACCGUGAAGCAUCCUGUUAAGUCAGGCAACGAGCGAGACCCACGUCCACAGUUGCCAGCAUACCCUCCGGGGUGAUGGGUACACUGUGGAGACCGCCGCUGCUAAAGCGGAGGAAGGAAUGGGCGACGGUAGGUCAGUAUGCCCCGAAUCUCCCGGGCUACACGCGGGCUACAAUGGUUGGUACAAUGGGCAUCUACCCGAAAGGGGAAGGAAAUCUCUUAAAGCCAAUCGUAGUUCGGAUUGAGGCUGCAACUCGCCCUCAUGAAGCUGGAAUCCGUAGUAAUCGCGUUUCAACAGAACGCGGUGAAUACGUCCCUGCUCCCUU
rnacentral:rRNA from 1 species